GGUUGGAAGGCGAGCGUGCGAGCAGGCGCGGUGUUGUGUGUUCCUCAGUGCAGGUAUGUGCAGGGAAAGGCUUACCAACAUGGCGGACAAGUGGCGUCAGUACUCACCCCUGCUUCUCAUCCUCGACUUGAAAUCUAUGCCACUGGCCAAAUCGUCGACUAUUUUCAAAGUCUUCUGCAUCCACUCUCAGUAUGUGAGGCUCCCUGGAGGUUCGUUGGCAUUGUGCGUUUUGAUCUUCACUCGUGCCAUCCUUGUUACAUGUCAAUACAAUAAUAUAACCUACAAGGGGCCGAGGCCCGACACACAACACAACUAAAGGACAGAAAAUGGAAGGAGCCUACCUAUGUACCUCAGUUCAGCAGUCCAGCAGCCUCUAAAAGCCCACGCAACUGCCCUGCAUGAGGUACGACCUGACCCUAUCCAACGUUUUUGCUGGAACCUUCCUCACUGGCUUAAUUAAGGCAGCUGCCCUUCUAAGGGCCCCCCUUGAGGCACUGCCCGCGGGGUUCACCUUCACCAGUGAGGAGGACACUAAGGGCGAAAAGAGAAAUACAGUGGAGAGAAAAGAUGCCUGGGCGGGACUCAACAACACCAACACCACCACCACGGAGUCCCCGGUACACAGGGCUUGGGAGGGUUCCCAGGUGGAAUUCUCCCUGUUGUGCAGGACAAGCACAGACGUCACUGGCAGGAUGUAGGUAGCUGGCAGUGUGGCGGGGCACAGCGGUGUUUCCACUCGCCCUCAGACCUUCACGUGGCACUCCCUAUAUAAGGCACACCAUUCUGUCUAAUCUUUUAAAGCUCCCUAGUGACUCAGCACCCACAGCCACAUUACGGAGUCCACCUGUUCAUCCACCACUCUAUCUGAGAACCACUUCCCUCCUGUCUAUUUCUCAAACGUAUUUUUUAUUCAAGUUUGCAUCGU